AACGAACGCUGGCGGCAGGCUUAACACAUGCAAGUCGAACGCCCCGCAAGGGGAGUGGCAGACGGGUGAGUAACGCGUGGGAAUCUACCCAUCCCUACGGAACAACUCCGGGAAACUGGAGCUAAUACCGUAUACGCCCUACGGGGGAAAGAUUUAUCGGGGAUGGAUGAGCCCGCGUUGGAUUAGCUAGUUGGUGGGGUAAAGGCCUACCAAGGCGACGAUCCAUAGCUGGUCUGAGAGGAUGAUCAGCCACAUUGGGACUGAGACACGGCCCAAACUCCUACGGGAGGCAGCAGUGGGGAAUAUUGGACAAUGGGCGCAAGCCUGAUCCAGCCAUGCCGCGUGAGUGAUGAAGGUCUUAGGAUUGUAAAGCUCUUUCACCGAUGAAGAUAAUGACGGUAGUCGGAGAAGAAGCCCCGGCUAACUUCGUGCCAGCAGCCGCGGUAAUAC
rnacentral:rRNA from 1 species